AUACUGAAACCCUUCUCAAAUAAACUCUUAUUUCUGAGAAUGAAACCCAUGAUUGUUUUCAACUUUCAAGUCUUUGAAAAGCCAAACACCCAAAUACUCUCAAUUUCUAUUACAAGUAUUCUGAUCCAUUCUUUCCAAUCCUCAAGAUUUUAAAAAUAUCAGCUUUACAAAUUAAUUCGAAGUUCAGACCGUCAUUGAAGCAUGGGUUGCUCAGUGAUAGUUAGAACCUAGAAUGAAUUGGGAUCUUCUUGAUUAUUCAACCCGCCAUUGUCAUGCUGGUUUAGCAGGCUAAAUUCAGUUGCUUAGCCGAUAAUGGAGGAUACUGAAUAGUUAGGAAUUUCCUGAACUAUGAUUUAUUAAAAGACAGACUGUGGUUUAUGAAAUGUUGAUCCUCAAAAGUUGGUUUGGAAUAUUUCUGUUAUUGAUAAUGAUUAUGAUUCUGUUCUGUUGAUUGAAUUGUCUAUUGAUUUAAAUUGUUAGAAUUGGAUUAGUUUUUAUAAAAUAUGUGGACCAGAUUCGUGGUCAGACCAGAUUCGUGGUCAAUUAUAGGCCAAUGUGUGCCUUGGAUCCAGUAUAGAGAACAGGGCUGUGUGCCAUGUUCGGGGUUAGUGCGUGACUGAUCAGCAGCCUAACCUUUGGUUUUUAAGUAAAAAUGUGAUGAAUCCAAUUCGACAAUUCUUCUGUAAGUUUGAAAUUCUGAUUUCAAUUGCUGAUAAGAAUUGUGAAGUUUUCAAUUGCAUAUCCUGAACUUGUGAACCCUGAUAAAAUAUUUCAGGACUAUUGUUGCUUAUAUACACUUGUUGAGCAUUGUAGCUCACCCUUGCUAUUCUUUUUUUUUUACCAUUUCAGAAAAGCUUAGAGAUGAAUUGCUUGAUUGAGAUUGCGAGUAUGGCUAAGGCUAAGCGAGGAGUCAGAGUUAUAGAAUAUCCAGAGGACAAGUGGAAUGUCCAGGGAGAUUGUCAAGGUUGGUUCUAGAUAGAAUUGUAUUGAUGAGAUUCAGUUGUAAGUCAUAAUUGGAAUAGAUUGACAGUGAUUCUUCUUAUCGAAGAUGAUCUGAGAUUGUAAGAUAUUGUUUAUUGAUAGUGGUUGAUUCUGAUUUCAAUACUGUAACCUGGAUGCGAUCCUGUUUUUAGGGGGUUAAAGUGUUUUCUUUUAAAUCUUUUAUUAAAGUCUUCAAGUUUUAAAUGCUUUGAUUUUUAUUUUCUCCUCAAAAAUACAGGUUUUCAAAAGUGUUUAAAAAUGGGUUUUGUGUGGUGACGUCAGAAUCCAGACCCCCGGAUUCUCGGGCUGUCACAGUUGGUAUCAGAGCAACAGGUUAUAAGUUAUUGAAAUUAGAAUAUAGAUUGUGGUUAUAAGUUUUAUAGAGAAAAAGUGUUCAGUGACCUCAUAUAGAGGUAUUGUGAGACUGUCUGGGGAUAGUCUAGAGAGGUAAUCGGAAUAGAAUCUAGAUAGUUAAUUAAGUUGAGGGUACAUGUUUAGAUAGAUCAUGGUUCCUAAGUCUAGAUACUUGGUUUCUAGUAUGGGGACUGAUUGAGAUAGUGAAUUGUGAUAAGGGUCAGAGUCGGACCUAGUCAAAAGAGUAUUAAUAAUGAAUGAUUAAGUUAAGAAUGAUAAAGAUGCAUGGUUUGGAGUAUUCUGACCAUGUUACAUAUUUGAAAGUGGUUUAUCGUUUGAAUUGAAAUGUAGAAGAAUGGAUGUUGAAUAUGAGAUAUUGUGAAUUAGAAAGAGAAUUUUGUAGAUAGAUGUGAUGUGAAUGAUAGAGAGUAGGUGGAAUUGAGUCUAGUUAUCAGAAGUAAUAUUGUGAGUGAGAUAGAACGUUAGUCUUAACGACGACGCUUCAAGCUAACCGGCAUUUCAUCUGCUAUCAAGAUGAACCUGCUUCAUUGCGAAUGAUAAUGUCUACAAGGAAAUCUUACGAGGCUAUCACGAGUUAAUGAUGAUCGAUUAUCGAGAACGUCGAGAAGAGGACAUACAUUGAACAACGAUUUAUGGAAGUAGAGCAGGAAUUUGAGAAGACCUUGGCAAUAUCUUUCUUCAACAAAAGCUUAUCUUAAUUCUUUUCAUCAUCAUUAAGUCCUUAUUAGGAUACCUUUUCUACAAAAAGUUUUGAUAAAUGAGAUAUUCUAUUUCUCGAAUGACGAGAAAACAUUGGUAUUGAUUAUUGAUAUUGGUAUUGAUUCUUGGUGUGUGAUAAAGGUAGAGCAGGAAUUUGAGAAGACCUUGGCAAUAUCUUUCUUCAACAAAAGCUUAUCUUAAUUCUUUUCAUCAUCAUUAAGUCCUUAUUAGGAUACCUUUUCUACAAAAAGUUUUGAUAAAUGAGAUAUUCUAUUUCUCGAAUGACGAGAAAACAUUGGUAUUGAUUAUUGAUAUUGGUAUUGAUUCUUGGUGUGUGAUAAAAGUUAUUGUGAGAAGACAAUGAUAUUUCUUGAUAUUUCUUGAGAUUCUUUGAUAUAUAUCUUGAUUCUCUUGAUAUUCUUUGGUAUUCUUUGAUAUUCCUUGGUAUUACUUCCAUCUGAUUGGGAUGAACAACCCUAUGUAUAGGGGACACAAGGUAUACCUGUCUGUGUGAUAGGAGUUGGAUGGGACGCCAUCACUUGUGUGUGUUGUACUUACAAGAAGGUUAACAACCUUUAGUAGUGUCUAAUAUGGGCACGCAACACUAAGUUCGUUUGAUCAUAUUGAUCUCUCAGUCACUCUCUUAUUUAAACAUGACCUAUUUUGCAAACAUCUUGUUCACAUUCUAAAUCUCAAGGAUUGAUUCUUGGGAAAUGAAUUCUGCAAUUGUGAAAGAUUGAUUCUCCUAUUUCUUUAAAGUUAAAGGUAUGCCAAGGUCAUUUAAAGGUGGGGAAUGAUAUUACGAAGUUUUAGUUCUCUUCGCGGAUUCUGAGGACAGAAUCCUUAUAAGGAGGGUAGAAUGUAACAUCCCAGAUUUUCAGAAUUAGUUUAUUAAUUUAGAAAUAAAUUUUUGAAUAUUAUUAUUGGUUUUAGUUGAUUUUUUUCUGAUGAGAUGAAUGAUCUGUGUAGUAUGAGUAUAAUUUUGAUGUGGAAUUAUAAGGUUUAAACAGAUUAUGCAUUCUUCUUCUGUGAUUUCGUAUAUUUUCACGACCCGGAUUUUUCAAAAAUUGUUUAUUGUUAUGAAAGUUAUUUUCUUAGAAAGGAGGAAUAAAAUUUAAUAUUUUAUUCCAGUUUGAUAAUUUUCAAAAAUAUUUGUAUAAAUUAUUUUCCUUGUCAUCGGGGUUAGGGGAAAAUAUCUGUUCAUCGUGCAGUUAUCUGUUACGAGAUUUAAUUGAUUUAUUUGUGUACGAUUAUGUCUGUGUGCAUUUAUUUCUGCUUUUGAUAUUAUUAUAUUACUUUAUUAAAAUUUAUUAUCUUCUUAAAUGGAUAUUAUUUUUGUAAAAAUACAAAGAUAAUUUGAAAACUUAUUUUAAUUGCUUGAUGGUGAUCAUAAAUAUUUUUAGGAGUUUAUAAAAUAUUAAGAAUCUUAUGUCUAUAUGGUCGGAUUUUUAAUUAGUUUCUGAAGCAUCUAACCUCUAAAUUUUGUAUAAGUUUCGAAAAUGCUCUGUAAAUCCCGAAACUUUUAUUUAAUUAGUUUUAUAAUAUUCAUGGAUUUGUAAAAUUAUUUUGGUGAUUUUUCGGGAAUGUUUUAUUAUGAAUAGUAUCUGUAAAUAAGCUAAUUGCGGGUAUUAGCCAGGGAUUGUUCUACAAAAAAUAGGACACGCAGCAGCAUGAGAGUGUGACACGUACCCCUAUAUUCCACCGCCUGUACUCCCUUUCUUCUUUCCUUUUCUUAAUGUCAUCACUUUUGAAACCUCAAGUCUCGGUCUCUCCUACCUCUCGUUCUCUCCCCAACUGAGUGUUCUUUUCCUCCUCCCUGCCUUUUUCAUUCCUGCAGCUGUGUGAUUAAUUGGGGGAGAGUGAAAUUAGGGUUUGUCCGUCUUCACUCAAUCAAAGGUAAUCAACUCUCGUUUUGAUUAAUUGUGAUUCUUAAACUUGAUUAUAUGCAUAAGUGUCUGUAUACUUGUGUAUGUAUGUAUUUGUGUGGCUGUUCGUUUCGACUGGAGAUGAUGACAACACUGUUGGUGGAGGGCCGUGGUGGUGAUGUGGUGGUGUAUAUAUAGCUGUGUGUUAUGUUCUUAAAAUGGGUUUUUUUGUGUAAUUUGAGUUGUGGUGUUAGAAUUGAGGCAAUUGUUGUCAAGCUUCGCAGCGGUAAUGUCCUGUUUUGUAGCUUUGUUCUAGGACUAUUAAGUUCAAUUACUAUGCUUAAUUUCCCUGUGAUUAUAUGCUCCUUGAAGUCUAGAUUAAGUGCGAAAAAGAAUUUCAAAGUUUCGUUAAAUGAGCUAAAAGUUAUGAAUUAAUUAGUGACUCUAUGUCUAGAUGACAAAAUUCUGCUAUGUGACAUAUGUGUGCACUGCCCUAUUUUGACAUGUGUAUUUCAAACUGAUAUAAGAUUAAUUGGUGAAUGGAUUGAUUUAUAUUGAUGUCUCUUAAGGUAUAAAAUCAGUACCAAAAGGAUUUAGGUUGAUUGGAUUAAUAAGAUUAAAGUUAUGUUAGAUUUUUAAGAGAUAUGCUACAUGAUUAGAUGCUGAGUAAUAUGUUAUGAUUUUGAUGUGUCUUGUAUGCAAAGUCUGUACAACAUAGAAUAGAAUUAAAAUACUGAACCUCUGAGACUAUAUGCUAUGUGGAAUCAAGGAUCUAUGCCAAGUGGAAUUAAUCAAUUUGGAUUAGUAAAUAUUAAGAUAUGAAUUUUUAUGUGUACGGUGUUAUUAGAGCCCUGCUGUGAUGCUUUCUCUGCACCAUGUUGAACUUCCAAAAUUUAUACUAAAUUAAUUAUGUGUUGGAACUUGUUUGUUUGACCUCUGUAACUUAGCUAUUCGAGUUCUAUAUGAUUUCUAUUCUCUGAGUUCCUUGAUUUGGUGCUUAUAAAAUGAAUUUCUAAAAAUACAAAAAUGAUUUGAAAAAUUCUUUCAAUUACUUGAAAAUUAUAAUGAAUAUUUUUAGGAGUUUUUAAAAUAUUAAAUAUAUUAUUUUUGUAAAAGUUUGAUGUUUAAAUAUUUUCUGAACGCAAUUAAUUUCUAAAUUGCGUAUAAAUUUCAUAAGUACUCGAUAAAUCUCAAAACUUUUAUUUCAUUGGUCUUAUAACAUUCCGGGAUUUAUAAAAAUAUUUCGGUAGCUGUCGGAAGAAAUUUUACUGCAAGUUUUUCCCUGAAUUAGUUGAUAUCGGGUAUUUAGGAUUGAAUAUCAGAUUAAAAGGAGGUGUGACAUGUGUCCCAAUAUUCCACCGCCUAUACUCCCUUUCUUCUUUCCUUUUCUAUAUUUCAUCACUUUUAAAACAUCAAGUCUCAGUCUCUCGCAUCUCUCGUUGUUGAGCCUCAACUAGUGUUCUCUUCCUCCUCUCUGCCUUUUCAAUCUUGCAACCGUGUGAUUAAUUAGGAGAGAGUGAAAUUAGGGUUUGGGAUUUUUCAACCAAUCAAAGGUAAUCAUCUCUCGUUUCGAUUAAUUGCGAUUCUUAAACUUGAUUAUAUGCAUAAGUGUGUGUAUACUUGUGUAUGUAUGUAUCUGUGUGGCUGUUCGCUUUAACUGGAGAUGAUGACAACAUUGUUGGUGGUUUGGUGGUGGAGCUGUGGUGUUGAUGUGGUGGUGUAUAUAUAGCUGUGUACAUGUUCUUAGAAUGGGUUUUGUGUAAUUUGAGAUGUGGUAUUAGAAUUGAGUCAAUUGUUGUCAAGCUUCGCAGCGGUAAUGUCCUGUUUUGUAGCUUUGUUCUAGGACUGUUAAGUUCGAUUACUAUGCUUAAUUUUCCUGCGAUUAUAUGCUCCUUGAAGUCUAGAUUAAGUGCGAAAAAGAAUUUCAAAGUUUCGUUAAAUGAGCUAAAAGUUAUGAAUGAAUUAGUGACUCUUUGUCUAGAUGAGAAAAUUCUGCUAUGUGACAUAUGUGUGCAUUGCCCUGUUUUGACAUGUGUACUCCAAACUGACAUAAGAUUAAUUGGUAAAUUGAUUAACUUAUAAUGAUGUUUCUUAAGGUAUAAAAUCAGUACCAAGAGGAAUUAGGUUGAUUGGAUUAAUAAGAUUAAAGUUAUGUUAGAUUUUUUUUAAGAGAUAUACUACAUGAUUAGAUGCUGAGUAAUAUGUUAUGAUUUUGAAGUGUCUUGUAUGCAAAGUCUGUAUAACAUAGAAUAGAAUUAAAAUACCAAACCUCUGAGACUAUAUGCUAUGUGGAAUCAAGGAUCUAUGCCAAGUGGAAUUAAUCAAUUUGGAUUAGUACAUAUUAAGAUAAGAAUUUUUAUGUAUCCGGUGUUAUUAGAGCCCUGCUGUGAUGCUUUCUCUGCACCAUGUUGAACUUUCAAAAUUUAUACUAAAUUAAUUAUGUGUUGGAACUUGUUUGUUUGACCUCUGUAACUUGGCUAUGUGAGUUCUCUAUGAUUUCUAUUCUUUGAGUUUCUUGAUUUGGUGCUUGCUUCUAUUUUAUGAAAAUUGAUCAAGUCAAGUAUGUCAAAACCAUACUACACUGUCCUGUUUUGCUAAAUGAUGCAUUAUGUACUAACUAUAACUGAUUAAAUGGCGAGUCUUUUUGUGUUGAUCAGAUAAUUUCAAGUAUGACGUCUCCUGUUUGUAUUGUCUUGGAAAAUUAUGUAAUCUAGUGUUCUAUAAGUUAGCAAAAUUGAGAGGGUUGUUGCUGAUUUGUAUUAAGAAGUCAACUUAAUUAAUGAUUUCCUGUUUUAUUACUUGAUCACUUUUUGCAUACUAUAUAUGGUUAGAAAGAUCUUGGAAUGCUCUAUCUUUUUUUGUUUAAUGUAUCUAUAAAUGAGAUUUCCGAAUGCUAGUAAAAUGCAAAUCUCUUGGUGUCUGUCCAGCAGUUUAUGGGCUUUAUGAAUUGUCGAGUUAGAAUUAUAUGUAUUGUUCUAUGACUUGCAUCUAGACUUAAAGUUGAAUCAUUGUUUGGCUGAGAUAUGUGAGUUAUUGAUGUGUGAUUGUGUUUUAAUUGAUAAUUGGUUCGGUACUUGUUGGUUUAUUGAGUUGGAUUGGGUUGGUUAUUUGUUGAGUUGUAUAGGGAGUUAGAAAACUGUUUUGUUAAUAACUUUUGAUACGUAAUUCAGAAUCGAGUGAAACGAAAAAGAGGUUAAAGCUUAGAAACUCUAGUUUAAUAUAAUGUAACAAUAUGAUUGAGUUUCCAAUGUGUAUAAAGAUUGUUGAAAAUGCAUAAUGUGACUAUACGUGAUCUAUUUGCUAUAUAGUGAUGAUUAUAUCAAAUACGUAUCCAUUUGAUUUGAUAAACGAUUUGGGAGACAUAGCAUCUUGUCUUGAUUAAUGUUGAAUAAGAAUAUGUAGAUUACAGGAAUUUGAGUUGAUUGAUUGGUCGUUGGUUGAAAUAGGCUGACAGAUGGAUAGUCCUAUAAAUAGACAAGACGCUGUCAGAUUUUCAAUAGGAUUUAUAUGGUUAUUGAGUUGUAGUAUGCUACAUGGAGUAUGAUGUGACUAUAUGAUAAAGUCAAAGCAUGAUUAUAUGUUAAGUGAUACCUGAUAAGUGCAUAGAGAUUAUAUAGGGUGAUAUGUGAUUAUGUGUUAAAUGCUAUCGAUAUAAGUGAUAUGUAUAUGCGAUAGGUUAUGAUACCGAGUUUGAUAAGUAAGAUAAGAAUUAAUAGAUUAUUUAGUAAUUAUGGUAGUAUUUUAUUCUCGUAAAGGAUUUGGACGAGGCGUAUACGACCGAAGACGUUCAGAAAGUCAAACGGUGUUCCAAAGCGAAUGAGGAACGAAUCGAGUAAGUGAAGCAGUGUGGCGAAUAAAGUAUAGCCAGAGAUGGUCUAGAUACUAUGAUAUGCAUAGGUUGUGAGUUGGAAAGAUGAGAUUAAGCUGUGUGUGGAAGCGGAUUUAAGGCAAGUUUUCCUAAAUACUUCCUCACAUAUAUAUAUUGCAUGUUCUGAUUAUUCUGUCCAGACUAUGUUAUUGCUUAUACUGAAACCCUUCUCAAAUAAACUCUUAUUUCUGAGAAUGAAACCCAUGAUUGUUUUCAACUUUCAAGUCUUUGAAAAGCCAAACACCCAAAUACUCUCACUUUCUAUUACAAGUAUUCUGAUCCAUUCUUUCCAAUCCUCAAGAUUUUAAAAAUAUCAGCUUUACAAAUUAAUUCGAAGUUCAGACCGUCAUUGAAGCAUGGGUUGCUCAGUGAUAGUUAGAACCUAGAAUGAGUUGGGAUCUUCUUGAUUAUUCAACCCGCCAUUGUCAUGCUGGUUUAGCAGGCUAAAUUCAGUUGCUUAGCCGAUAAUGGAGGAUACUGAAUAGUUAGGAAUUUCCUGAACUAUGAUUUAUCAAAAGACAGAC
rnacentral:lncRNA from 1 species